rnacentral:rRNA from 1 species
UAUUGCGCAAUGGAGGAAACUCUGACGCAGUGACGCCGCGUAUAGGAAGAAGGUUUUCGGAUUGUAAACUAUUGUCGUGAGGGAAGAAAUUGACAGUACCUCAGGAGGAAGCUCCGGCUAACUAUGUGCCAGCAGCCGCGGUAAUACAUAGGGAGCAAGCGUUAUCCGGAUUUAUUGGGUGUAAAGGGUGCGUAGGCGGUUUCUUAAGUCUGAUGUGAAAGCCCACGGCUCAACCGUGGAGGGUCAUUGGAAACUGGGGAACUUGAGUGCAGAAGAGGAGAGUGGAAUUCCAUGUGUAGCGGUGAAAUGCGCAGAGAUAUGGAGGAACACCAGUGGCGAAGGCGGCUCUCUGGUCUGUAACUGACGCUGAGGUUCGAAAGCGUGGGUAGCAA